AUUGAACGCUGGCGGCAUGCCUAACACAUGCAAGUCGAGCGGAUGAAGGGAGCUUGCUCCUGGAUUCAGCGGCGGACGGGUGAGUAAUGCCUAGGAAUCUGCCUGGUAGUGGGGGAUAACGUCCGGAAACGGGCGCUAAUACCGCAUACGUCCUGAGGGAGAAAGGGGGGGAUCUUCGGACCUCACGCUAUCUGAUGAGCCUAGGUCGGAUUAGCUAGUUGGUGGGGUAAAGGCCUACCAAGGCGACGAUCCGUAACUGGUCUGAGAGGAUGAUCAGUCACACUGGAACUGAGACACGGUCCAGACUCCUACGGGAGGCAGCAGUGGGGAAUAUUGGGCAAUGGGCGAAAGCCUGAUCCAGCCAUGCCGCGUGUGUGAAGAAGGUCUUCGGAUCGUAAAGCACUUUAAGUUGGGAGGAAGGGCAGUAAGUUAAUACCUUGCUGUUUUGACGUUACCAACAGAAUAAGCACCGGCUAACUUCGUG
rnacentral:rRNA from 1 species